CUCCUACGGGAGGCAGCAGCAAGGGAUUUUCCGCAAUGGGCGCAAGCCUGACGGAGCAACGCCGCGUGCGGGAUGACGCCUUUCGGGGUGUAAACCGCUGUUCGUGGGGACGAAGCACUGACGGUACCCACGGAGGAAGGCCCGGCUAACUACGUGCCAGCAGCCGCGGUAAUACGUAGGGGUCGAGCGUUGUCCGGAGUUACUGGGCGUAAAGCGCGUGCAGGUGGCUCAUCACGCCCGGCGUGAAAGCCCCCGGCUUAACCGGGGAGGGUCGUCGGGGACGGGUGAGAUUGAGGGUAGCAGGGGCUGGUGGAAUUCCCGGUGUAGUGGUGAAAUGCGUAGAGAUCGGGA
rnacentral:rRNA from 1 species